GCCAGGUGUGGUGGCGCGCGCCUGUAGUCCCAGCUACUCAGGAGGCUGAGGCAGAAGAAUCGCUUGAACCUAGGAGAUGGAGGUUGCAGUGAGCCAAGAUCGCGCCACUGCACUCCAGCCUGGGUGACAGAGCGAGAUGCUGUCUCAA
rnacentral:SRP_RNA from 2 species